rnacentral:piRNA from 1 species
UUGUUACAGUAAUUCCACUAUCUCUGUGCC